rnacentral:rRNA from 1 species
AUGUUGGCUUCAUGGGUUCUUUUGGGAGAUUUCAACCUCAUUUGCCGGGCUACUGACAAAACUAAUGGCGCCAUCAAUCGCCGGAUGAUCAACCGCUUUCAAGCUGCUCUGAAUUCCCUGGAAGUUGAUGAACUGCGGCUCCACAACCGCAAGUUUACUUGGGCCAGCACCUGUCAGCAACAAACCAGAACCAAGAUUGAUCAUGUUUUCUACACGGCGGAUUGGAACAUGCUCUUCCCGCAAUGCCACCUGCGGGCUGCUUCGACCUCGAUCUCAGACCACUAUGCUAUGAUUCUUACUGGACAGGUCUCUCAAAAGUGCUUUCGAGGGUUCAAAUUUGAAAAUUAUUGGCUAAAAAUCCAAGGUUUUCGAGAGGUCAUCCAUCAGUCCUGGGAUGUCCCGGUCCUUCAUGCUGAUGCAAUGUGGCGGUUGAAUCAUAACCUUUGCCGCUUGGGCAAAGCCCUUCGCCUCUGGAGUCGCAGUAGAGUGGGAAACAUGUCCGCUAUCGCCGAGCAAGUGAUUCUUGGGCUGGACUCUGCCCAAGAUGCCCGGGACCUGACGAUCGCCGAGUUGGGGCUACAGUUGUUCCUGCGACAGAAGCUCCUUGGCUUGGCGGCAGUGCAACGGAUCCGUAUCCGCCAGCGAUCCCGCAUGCUCUGGUUGCGCCCAAACCAUGCUAGCUCAAAACUAUUCCACAUCAAGGCUAAUGGUCGUCGUAGACGCAACUUCAUCCCUGUGCUUCAUACUGACUUGGGGCAGCUCUCUAUUCAGGCUGACAAGCAGAGAGAGUUUCCAUCCCACUUCAAGAACUCCAUUGGCUGCUCUCCGUCCAAACCGUGCUCGAUCAACUGGGACUUUUUGCAGAUUCCGCACCAUGACCUGUUGGCCUUGGAAGCAGAAUUCUCUGAAGAUGAAAUCAAAGAUGCUGUUUUUGGUCUGCCGUCCGGGAAGGCACCUGGACCUGAUGGUUUCACAACAGAUUUUUUCAAAUUUUGUUGGGAUAUUGUCAAGGGGGAUCUGAUUGCAACUCUGAACCAAGUCUUCACCCUUCGAGCUAAGCACUGGAACCUCCUUAACCAUGCCAUCAUUUCUCUGCUACCCAAAUCCUUUGAUGCCAUGAGAGUGAAAGAUUUCAGGCCAAUAAGUCUCAUGCACUCCAUUGCCAAGAUUCUAUGCAAGCUGCUGGCCAACCAGCUGGCUCCAUUCCUGCACAUCCUGGUCCCCCAGUCUCAGAGCGCUUUCAUCAAGACACGUAGCAUUCACGACAAUUUUCUCUAUGUCAAGAAUGCGGUCAGAUCUCUUCACAAGUCAAAAACUGCCGCCUUGUUUCUGAAACUGGACAUUGCCGGUGCUUUCGAUUUAAGUCUCCUGGGGUUACAUGUUCAAGCUCAUGACUGCCAUGGGUUUUGGACACAGAUGGUGUGA